GGCACUUUGGCGGAGUGGUUAUCGCGCAGGUUUGUCUAGCCUCUUCCUCCAACUAGCGUGAUACUAAUGUCCUACUAGGCCUGCUACAUUGUACAGCCUGUUCCUUCGGGAGCCAGGGUUCGAAUCCCUGAGGUGUCG